GAGAAGUCUUAGGCCCCUCUCCCCCACAGCUUGUGAUCUCUGCAUGACCUCCGCCUGCCUCGAUAGAGGGACUGAAAACAGACGUUCACGAGCCCCCGCUAACAGGAUAUUGAGCCACAAUGAAAACAGUUAGGGCUGACAGCUCUGUCCCUGCUCUCACUCUGAUCAAAUUGUCAAGGAUGUGUAAGUUAAUGAUUAUACGCACAAGCCCCCUAUCUUCACUGCCCAUUUGCUGUGUACGUUGUGUACGUGACCUACGAGUUUCUCAAUCCCCCUGCAAAGUAUAUAAGCAUCAACCCUGCCUUGAAUAAACGCUCUAGACCCUCACGAGUCUUGAGACAUUCCCUAACCCUUUCACCUUUACAGGUCCCUCAGGAGAGACUUUCACCCAUCCCAGUCGAGCUCUCCCGGAGACGGGCUACAGUAGCUGCUGGCCAGCUUCUCACCUGUCCCCCACAGAACCCAGAGCCCGACAACUGGCGCCCAACGUCGGUGGACUCCCUCGUCUCUCCUCCCCGGUCGACGGUUUAUCCCGGGUCUCCUCGUGUUCGUCCUUCCUGAGUCGGAAUACGUGAUCUCUUGAUCCGUGCCGCCAAUCACCUUGUCUCCUCCCUUCAAUCUCACGGAUUUUCCAUUUCCCAAGAUAAGAUUCAACUGCACCCUCCUCACUUAUUUCUGGGUUUUGAACUUUUACCCUCCUCCGUUCGCACUCAAAAGUUGCAGCUCCGCACUGCCCAUUUGAAAAAGGUAUCUGGUUCUUGCAACUUUGUGAAUGAGAAAGAGUCUGGGAAAACAAUUGAUUCUUAUAUUUGCAUUAAAAUCUGACAAACACACAAAAAUAGUGUGAAACCCCUUGUAGGAGGAAAAGUCUAUGCUUAUAUUUUAACAGAUAACACCUACUAAUGUACUCUGGGUCCUGCUAUGGCUUGGCUUCAUCUGGAGUAAACUUCAUUUUCCUGAUAAAGACCCCAAACCACCUCAAACAGAUCUCAGCUGGAAGUCACAAGGAAAUCUGAGGAAGAAAGGACAGGCCGAAUUGGCCUGAGGACUUAGUCUGGGUUUUACGGUACCAACCUUAUCCUGAACCUAGAGAACUUUGUAUGCAAGUGUGAGAUCCUUAAUGUUUUAUGGUAAUCUAUGAGUGUUUUAAUCUUUAUAUUUGUGUUUUCCUAGAAAUCAGAAUUCUAAGAUGUCUCCUGGUUAAUUUCUAAUGUGGAGUGAACCUUUGCCCAAUGAAUAUGUUGUAAGAACUUUAGUUGUGAGCAUCUUUAAAGUUGU